rnacentral:rRNA from 1 species
AUGCUAAAGAAUAAAGAUGUGGAUAAUGAUAUUGUUAAAUUGAAGCUAUUUCCGUUUUCGCUUAGAGAUCGUGCUAAAACUAGGUUUUCAUCUUUGCCUAAAAAUAGUAUUGAUUCAUGGAAUAAGUGCAAAGAUGCUUUUAUCUCUAUGUAUUUUCCUCCCGCUAAGAUCAUCUCUCUUAGAAAUGAUAUCAUGAAUUUUAAGCAACUUGAUCAUGAUCAUGUUGCACAAGCUUGGGAGAGGAUGAAAUUAAUGAUACGUAAUUUCCCUACUCAUGGAUUAAAUUUAUGGAUGAUCAUACAAUUUUUUUAUGCCAGAUUGAAUUUUGCUUCUAGAAAUCUUUUAGAUUCGGCCGCGGGAGGCACUUUUAUGGAAAUCACUUUAGGAGAAGCUACUAAACUCCUAGAUAAUAUUAUGGUUAAUUAUUCUGAAUGGCACACCGAAAGAUCUACUAGUAAAAAGGUUCAUGUUGUAGAAGAAAUUAAUGUUUUGAGUGGAAAGAUGGAUGAACUUAUGAAAUUGUUUGCUAAUAAGAGUGUUCCUUCUGAUCUUAAUGAUAUUCCUUUGUCUACCUUGAUUGAUAAUAAUAAUGAAUCUAUGGAUGUGAAUUUUGUUGGUAGGAACAAUUUUGGUAACAACGCUUAUAGAGGAAACUUUAAUCCUAGGCCGUUUCCUAGUAAUUCCUCUAAUAAUUAUGGUAAUUCCUACAACAACUCUUAUGGAAUUUUUCAUAAGAUGCCCUCUGAUUUUGAGACUAGUGUUAAAGACUUUAUGAUUUCGUGA